GACGAACGCUGGCGGCGUGCUUAACACAUGCAAGUCGAGCGAAAAUACAGCAAUGUAUUUUAGCGGCGGACGGGUGAGUAACACGUGGGCAACCUGCCUUUAGCUGGGGGAUAGCCAACCGAAAGGUUGAAUAAUACCGCAUAAUCCAUAGAUAUGGCAUCGUAUCUGUGGCAAAGGAGUAAUCCGGCAAAAGAGGGGCCCGCGUCCCAUUAGCUAGUUGGUGAGGCAGAGGCUCACCAAGGCGACGACGGGUAGCCGAUCUGAGAGGAUGACCGGCCACAUUGGAACUGAGACACGGUCCAGACUCCUACGGGAGGCAGCAGUGGGGAAUAUUGCGCAAUGGGGGAAACCCUGACGCAGCAACGCCGCGUGAGCGAUGAAGGCCUUCGGGUCGUAAAGCUCUGUCUUGUGGGACGAUAAUGACGGUACCACAGGAGGAAGCCACGGCUAACUACGUGCCAGCAGCCGCGGUAAUACGUAGGUGGCGAGCGUUGUCCGGAAUUACUGGGCGUAAAGGGUGCGCAGGCGGAUAUUUAAGUCAGAUGUGAAAAUCCCGGGCUUAACCUGGGAACUGCAUUUGAAACUGGGUAUCUGGAG
rnacentral:rRNA from 2 species